rfam:Acidobacteria bacterium RIFCSPLOWO2_02_FTLL_67_21 rifcsplowo2_02_scaffold_5161, whole genome shotgun sequence.
GCGCCCGUAGCUCAGUUGGAUAGAGCGCCGGACUUCGAAUCCGUAGGCCGCAGGUUCGAGUCCUGCCGGGCGCG